UUUGGAUGGUUAUGGAUGAUGGUGUGGUGAUUUGUUGCAAAGAGAGGAGAAAGGAGAAAGGAUGAGGCCAUUUUUGGGGAAGAUAUGGAUCAUCUGGGUGGGUUUUAUUUUUUUUAUUUUUAAUAUAUUUUUAUUUUAUUUUCAAAGAAUAGAGAAGCAAUAUUUGUAAUUAUUAAUUAUCUCAUUUUUAAUAUAAUUUUUUAAAUUUAACAAGUAAUUACAUUUGGUAAAAGGACUAAAAUAGCCAUGCCAUGCCAUUAAAACUAACAGAGUUAUUAAUGGAGAUAAUGGUUGGGGUAAAGUGGAAUACGAAAUCACGGUCAAGAGGGUUAAGU
rnacentral:lncRNA from 1 species